GGUUGUGUCUCAGAGAUAGAGCACUUGCCUAGCAUGCAUGAGGUCCUGAGUUCAAUCCUCAGCACCA
rnacentral:tRNA from 1 species